rnacentral:rRNA from 1 species
AGCAGCCGCGGUAAUUCCAGCUCCAAUAGCGUAUAUUAAAGUUGUUGCAGUUAAAAAGCUCGUAGUUGAAUUUCGGGGUUCAUCCGUUGGUCGGGCUUUUUGGUCUGUACUGGCGUGAUGGAUUCCUACCUUCUGAAUAACCAGCAUGUCAUUAAUUUGGUGCGCUGGGGAAGCAGGACUGUUACCUUGAAAAAAUUAGAGUGCUUAAAGCAGGCUAUCGCCUGAAUACAUUAGCAUGGAAUAAUGAAAUAGGACGGCAUGGUUCUAUUUUGUUGGUUUCUAGGAUCACCGUAAUGAUUAAUAGGGAUAGUUGGGGGCAUUAGUAUUCAAUUGUCAGAGGUGAAAUUCUUGGAUUUAUUGAAGACUAACUUCUGCGAAAGCAUUUGCCAAGGAUGUUUUCAUUAAUCAAGAACGAAAGUUAGGGGAUCGAAGACGAUCAGAUACCGUCGUAGUCUUAACCAUAAACUAUGCCGACUAGGGAUCGGACGAUGUUAAUUUUUUAAUG